AGAAGGGCUCACUUUCCCGUGACUGUUAGCAGCAUCCAAAGUAAACCUUUUCGUUUCAAAUGAUACAGAACCAGUCAGGCAGAGAGAGAGAAAGGGAGGGAGUAAGAGGGAGUGCCAUUGUAAAUUAAUCAGCCUUUUGGAGGAGAAACAGGAAACAGCACUCCUCAAAUUGUACAAACCCCAGCCCCAGCGUGAUGCAGGCGAGCCCUGGCUGUGAUAUGGCCGCCAUCCACGUCUCAUAUGGAGCCAAGGAAAAUUCUGAGCUGAAAUUGGCCGGGUCUGUUACAGGUUAACCUCCCUUGGCCAAAUAGCUUCUCAGAUGCCUCCAUGAGUGCAUUGUGUGUCACUGCAAUGCACACAAGGGAGUUUCUGAAGGCCAUCACAAAGUGUUAUCAUUUAAGGGAGCCGCAAAACAAAGUCCGCCCGUUUCUUUGGGUCGGUGUCCAAAAACAUUCCGACUGCCGAGUUGCAGUCGGACCUCACGGCUUUCCCGUGAUCUGGCGACGCAGUAGGAAGGAGCGAAGGGUGGGGGCGGGGGGAGUUCAUCCAAGCCGCUCUGUCUGGGCCGCGUCGGGCGGGUUCAGGCAGUCCUGCCUGUCCGGCUCCUUCAUGGAGACAGUGCCGGGUUUAAUUAUCCCCAGCUGUGCUUCAUCCCUCCCCAGCUGGGCUCGGCGUCCCAGUGUCCUCUGCCUGCGCGCCGCAUCCACACUCAAGUCAAGCCUUAACAUGCUCGGAGAAUACAAAGCAGACCCAAGCAGGAGGCACAGAAGGACCAGCGAUGAUCUAUCGAGACAGCGCCGUUCGAGUCCGCCUUGUAAAUAUCAACAACUCUGCUAAUGACCAGGAGGAACCAAAACAGAGCUAAUAGCGUGUUUACGUCAGGGGAAUGUCCAAUGGCGGAGCUAAUUAUCAUCUCUAUUAAAGGCUAUUUUACAAGGAAGCAAGUCAAGUGAGGGGACGUCUCAUCUCAAGUUCCCAACCCGAAUGAUUUCAUCCAUCCGUCCUUCCAUUUUCUUCCACUUAUCUGAGGUCAGGUCACUGGGGCAUCGGCUUAAGCAUGGAAGCCCAGACUUCCCUCUCCGCAGAAAUAUGCGGUCUCUCCAGCGCGUCCUGGGUCGUCUCUGGGGCCUCCUCACGGUGGGGCGUGCCCGCAACACCUCACCCUGGAGGCGUCUUGGGGGCGUCCUAAACAGAUGCCUGAGCCACCUCAUCUGGCUCCUCUCAAUGCGGAAGCGCACUGGCUCAACUCUGUCUGAGCCACUCCCAGAUAUGACCGAUGGUCUCGCCCCAUCUCUAAAGGAGACCCCGGAUACGCUGCUGACUCAUUUUGGCCACUUGUAUCCGCGAUCUUGUUAUUUCAGCCACGACCCACAGCUCACGGCCGUAAUAGUGCAGAUUGCUCAGGAAAUUAAGAGUUUUGCCUCUUGGCUCAUUCUUCCCUCACUUCUGAACAAAACCCAAGGAUUCUUGAUCUCCUCUACUUGGAGCAGGAUCUCCUACCUGACCCGGGCCAUUUAAACAAACAAAAAAAGAAAACAUCACUAAAAUGACAUAAUUAUCACUGUCACUCGUGGGCAGCGUCCCAUUUUUGGGACAUCAUGAUUUUCACGCAUUGAAUAGUUCAAUUCACUUCAGUAGUUCAAAAUAUUUAAGUGCUUUAAUCUGAAGCCAUAAUUUGGUAUCAUCGGUCAAAGUUAGCACAGAGUUAUGUCCCUUUCUUUCCUGACCCGACAUGCCUGCCUCAAGUUAUCAUAUAACUUAACCAUAAAUGAAAAAGAAGUGUUAUUUACUUGAUUUUGGCCUGUCAGGAGAGUUUUAUCUCAAUAAAGCAAAAAACUGCCACCCUGUCCAUGUUUAAAUGAUCUCAGUGUUUUUCAUUG